UACGGGGGGAGCAAGCGUUGUUCGGAUUUACUGGGCGUAAAGGGCGCGUAGGCGGCCAGCGCAAGUCGGUUGUGAAAUCUCCGGGCUUAACUCGGAAAGGUCAACUGAUACUGCGCGGCUAGAGUGCAGAAGGGGCAACUGGAAUUCUCGGUGUAGCGGUGAAAUGCGUAGAUAUCGAGAGGAACACCUGCGGCGAAGGCGGGUUGCUAGGCUGAUACUGACGCUGAGGAGCGAAAGCGUGGGGAGCGAACAGG
rnacentral:rRNA from 1 species